AAAGCGUGUAGGCCGGUGUGUAGGCAAAUCCGCACACCAUGAAGGCUGAGACGUGAUGCCGAGCCGAUUCAGGUGAAGUCAGUGAUCCUAUGCUGCCGAGAAAAGCCUCUAGCGAGUUCUUAGCGGCCCGUACCCCAAACCGACACAGGUGGUCAGGUAGAGAAUACCAAGGCGACGGGCGAACUGUGGUUAAGGAACUCGGCAAAUUACCCCCGUAACUUCGGGAGAAGGGGGGCCGGACAUGUGAAGCAACACGCUUGUGGAGCGUGGUAUGGCCGCAGAGACCAGGGGGAAGCGACUGUUUACUAAAAACACGGGUCCAUGCGAAGAAGUAAUUCGAUGUAUAUGGACUGACGCCUGCCCGGUGCUGGAACGUUAAGGGGACCUGUUAGCUCUUCGGGGCGAAGCGGAGAACUUAAGCGCCAGUAAACGGCGGUGGUAACUAUAACCAUCCUAAGGUAGCGAAAUUCCUUGUCGGGUAAGUUCCGACCUGCACGAAUGGCGUAACGACUUCCCUACUGUCUCAACCACAGGCCCGGCGAAAUUGCAGUACGAGUAAAGAUGCUCGUUACGCGCGGCAGGACGGAAAGACCCCGGGACCUUUACUAUAGCUUGACAUUGGUAUCUGAGUUAAUUUGUGUAGGAUAGGUGGGAGCCUGUGAAGCUCGUACGCCAGUACGGGUGGAGGCAAUCUUGAAAUACCACUCUGGUUGAUUCGGGUAUCUAACUUCGGACCGUGAUCCGGUUCAGGGACAGUGUCUGGUGGGUAGUUUAACUGGGGCGGUUGCCUCCUAAAGAGUAACGGAGGCGCCCAAAGGUUCCCUCAGCCUGGUUGGCAAUCAGGUGUUGAGUGUAAGUGCACAAGGGAGCUUGACUGUGAGACUGACAGGUCGAGCAGGGACGAAAGUCGGGACUAGUGAUCCGGCACCGGCAUGUGGAAGCGGUGUCGCUCAACGGAUAAAAGGUACCCCGGGGAUAACAGGCUGAUCUUCCCCAAGAGUCCAUAUCGACGGGAUGGUUUGGCACCUCGAUGUCGGCUCGUCGCAUCCUGGGGCUGUAGCAGGUCCCAAGGGUUGGGCUGUUCGCCCAUUAAAGCGGUACGCGAGCUGGGUUUAGAACGUCGUGAGACAGUUCGGUCCCUAUCCGCCGUGCGCGUAGGAUACUUGAGAAGGGCUGUCCCUAGUACGAGAGGACCGGGACGGACGAACCUCUGGUGUGCCAGUUGUCCCGCCAGGGGCACGGCUGGUUAGCUACGUUCGCAAGGGAUAACCGCUGAAAGCAUCUAAGCGGGAAGCUCGCUUCAAGAUGAGGUAUCCCACCCG
rnacentral:rRNA from 1 species